rnacentral:snoRNA from 1 species
UGCUGUUGAAGUGAUGAGUCUUCAUGUCUCUUCUCUGACAUUACAAUAGAGAGAGCUUAAACAACUCUGACCUCAGCA